rnacentral:misc_RNA from 1 species
UGUCGUCUCCUGCAGACC